GUGUAGCUCAGCUGGAUAGAGCGUCUGGCUACGGACCAGAAGGCCGAGGGUUCGAAUCCUUUCAC
rnacentral:tRNA from 1 species